rnacentral:tRNA from 1 species
CGGGGCGUGGCGCAGUUGGCUAGCGCACCAGACUGGGGGUCUGGGGGUCAGCGGUUCGAGUCCGCUCGUCCCGA